rnacentral:sRNA from 1 species
GCGUAGUAAUCUCAGACAAUACUGCAUUACGUUAUGCAGUGUAAAAGAUUUGUCAACAAACCCACGUUGAGAACAACUGGUGACUGUCCAUCUUCGACAUACGUAAGAUGAAUGUCAAGAAACUGAUUAACAUUAACUGACAAGAGGAGACAAUGAGAGCUCAACAUCAUUCUUCAUCUCUGGUGAAGGGGAGAGUUGCUAAAUUUGGGUGCACAGCUAAAUUCAAGCAAAACAAAGAAAAAGACGGAUGCUAUAAAAAUGCGGUGUUGGCUUCCCAGUUCAGCACUUUUAAAGAGGGACAAACAUUGCACGUUUGCAACUUCUAAAUGGAAGCAGGGCAUCUGAAAUAUGCUGGAAUCCUCAUCUUAGUGGCCUUAACGCCAUUUUCAAGAAUAUCCUGCUGAAAAAGACAGUUUUCAUUGGUAUAAUGGAUGCAAGACAACACUAGUGAAUUGAAAUUGUUGUUACCACAAAUGGCACACUCCAUGAUAACACGCUUUCCAAAAACACCAUUACGGCAUGCAGCCAUAAAGGGAUUCUUUGAAAGUCUAUGUUCUGUAAUGGUGGAAGAUUCCAUUAGUAUUAAAAUAAAAACUUAAAAGUUAAAAGUUCAAAUGUCUUCAAUACUAGAGACCUGUGAUUUGACAGUACAACAUGGAGCAAUUGUAAAGGACACAUAAUUUGUACAUUAUUGAAUAUCAAUAUAUAGUUAUCCAUAAAUUACUGGGCUUUUACAUUGUAUUGUAAUUCUCAACAUUUGCAUAUAUGUUUGAUCUUUGUAAAAUAUGUUUGGUAUACAGUACAGUAAGUAAAUACAUUCUUUCUAAGUUUUAAACAUUUGUCAACAAAAUAUAUGAAAUGCAAUCUGAGGAUCAAUUAGAGGUCUGCAAUUCUCCACAUAUAAAAUGACUUUGAAAUCAUCCUGUUACUGUUAAACUUGAGAAUAUAUUACGAAAACAUCAAAAUCUCUUUAUUGAAUACCUUUUUUACAACACAUUGUCCAGAUAUUUUGUGUAUUAUUCUAUGAAGCUGAUUUCUCAAUGGCUAUUGCUUCUCAGGUAAGCAAAGUGACACACAUACUACUUGAUUUUGUAAAAUACUGUAAUCAAGUGAUGUACAAAUGUAACUUCUGCAUUUUUGUGAAACAUUAUUGUAAAGAAUAAAAUACUACAGUUUCAG